CUAAUGCUCUUACUGUAAGUAAUUAGGAUUGGUUUUCUUUUACAGGGUGAUAAAGGUCUUCCUGGUUCUGCUGGUCCAAAGGGUGAUACUGGAGACACUGGGUCAAUAGGCCCUAAAGGAGAAGCUGGUGCUGUUGGGUCUCCUGGGAAACCUGGACCACCAGGACCUCCUGGCCCCCCUGGGCCGCCUGGACCUCCUGGACCCCCAGGAAUCAGCUACAGUUUGGGAUUUGAGGACAUGGAAGGAUCGGGUAGCAUUGACCUCUUAAAUGAAUCCAGAAUUCCAGGAUCAAGAGGACCAAAAGGUUUUGUAGGAAGACAUGGACAGCGUGGACCAUUAGGACCAAAGGGAGAAAGAGGCAGCAUUGGUCCACCAGGUUCAAAGGGAAUGCCAGGUACAGAUGGAAAACCAGGCUUUCCUGGCAUUGCUGGACAUCCUGGAGAUGUGGGUCCAAAAGGAGAGAAGGGUGACCCAGGACCUCAGGUGAGAUUGUGUGGAUCACAUGUUAAACAUAUGUUAAAAGUAGUAGUGAAUGUCUUUUCCAUCUUUAAUGUUUUUUGA
rnacentral:lncRNA from 1 species